UUACUUAUUAUAUUUAAUUUCUCAAUUCAUCACACAGAAUUCAAUAUCUUCACUUAACACAAUACAAUUCAAUAAUCUCAAUUCUCAAUGUCAUAGAUUUUCUCCAAAUCAGUCAGUCCAAAGUCAUAUUCUACAAUAUUCUAAUCACAGUUUCAACAAUACUUCUCUCAAUCAUAAUUCUUCAUAAGAAAAUAAUAAAAGUAAAAAAAACAAAGAGGUA
rnacentral:lncRNA from 1 species